rnacentral:rRNA from 1 species
AAGUCGUAACAAGGUUUCCGUAGGUGAACCUGCGGAAGGAUCAUUAUUGAAAUAGCAUGACGAGUUGUCGCUGGCCUUUUUGACCGUGCACGCUCUGUCGUUCUUCAUUUCUCCAUCUAUUUGUGCACCUCUUGCGUAGACCUUUUCUGAGGGCUUCCUCGGGUCGUUAGGACUGCUUUGCAAAAAUUGAAUUUGUGGGCUUUCCUUGUCGCUACCACACAUACACCAGUGUAAUCGUUUAGAAGGAAAUGGAAUUUGAUGCAUAAUACAACUUUCAGCAACGGAUCUCUUGGCUCUCGCAUCGAUGAAGAACGCAGCGAAAUGCGAUAAGUAAUGUGAAUUGCAGAAUUCAGUGAAUCAUCGAAUCUUUGAACGCAUCUUGCGCUCCUUGGUUAAUCCAAGGAGCAUGCCUGUUUGAGUGUCAUUAAUGUCUCAACCACACCGUGAGGUGUGGCUUGGAUUUGGGGGUUACAGGCCUAGUCUGCUCCCCUGAAAUACAUGAGUGGUAACGACCUCUCCAUUAAGAUGUGAUACAUAUCUGCAUCUGGUCGAGGGUUCUGCUGCUAUAUAAGAGUUGGAUUUGAUAAACUUGACCUCAAAUCAGGUAGGACCACCCGCUGAACUUAA